UCUCCGUUGGUGAACCAGCGGAGGGAUCAUUACAGAGUUGCGAAACUCCCAAACCAUUGUGAACGUUACCUAUCCCGUUGCUUCGGCGGGCGGCCCGGGCCCCGCGCCCGGCGCCCCCCGGCCCCCCGUGGGCGCCCGCCGGAGGUAAACCAACCCUUGAAUUGCAUGGCCUCUCUGAGUCUUCUGUACUGAAUAAGUCAAAACUUUCAACAACGGAUCUCUUGGUUCUG
rnacentral:misc_RNA from 1 species